GGAUGGUUGGCCGAGUGGCCGAAGGCGCCUGCCUGUAGAGCAGGUCUCGUAGUGAGCAACGGUGGUUCGAAUCCAUCACCAUCCA
rnacentral:tRNA from 1 species